UGGGGAAUAUUGGACAAUGGGCGAAAGCCUGAUCCAGCCAUGCCGCGUGUGUGAAGAAGGACUUCGGAUUGUAAAGCACUUUAAGUUGGGAGGAAGGGUUGUAGAUUAAUACUCUGCAAUUUUGACGUUACCGACAGAAUAAGCACCGGCUAACUCUGUGCCAGCAGCCGCGGUAAUACAGAGGGUGCAAGCGUUAAUCGGAAUUACUGGGCGUAAAGCGCGCGUAGGUGGUUUGUUAAGUUGGAUGUGAAAUCCCCGGGCUCAACCUGGGAACUGCAUUCAAAACUGACUGACUAGAGUAUGGUAGAGGGUGGUGGAAUUUCCUGUGUAGCGGUGAAAUGCGUAGAUAUAGGAAGGAACACCAGUGGCGAAGGCGACCACCUGGACUAAUACUGACACUGAGGUGCGAAAGCGUGGGGAGCAAACA
rnacentral:rRNA from 1 species